rnacentral:ncRNA from 2 species
UCACGCGCAGCUGGAGAGCCUCGAACAUCAAUCGGGCACCGAAGGGGCAAGCACCCGCAAUCUCUCAGGUACCAAGGACAGCUGCGCAAGG